rnacentral:SRP_RNA from 1 species
GGCGGGCCUCCCCGCAUUGCAGUGUAGUGAACCUGGUCAGGUCCGGAAGGAAGCAGCCACAGCUACGUCCUGCAAGUGCCGGGGGUUGGGCUCGCCACC